CUCAAAGCUAGUGCUCUGACACUUGAGCCACAGAGCCACUUUUGGCUUUUUCUGUUUCUGUGGUACUGAGCAAUCAAACUCAAACCCAGGGUUUGUACAUGC